rnacentral:rRNA from 1 species
GAUGAACGCUGGCGGCGUGCUUAACACAUGCAAGUCGAACGAUGAAGCCCAGCUUGCUGGGUGGAUUAGUGGCGAACGGGUGAGUAACACGUGAGUAACCUGCCCUUAACUCUGGGAUAAGCCUGGGAAACUGGGUCUAAUACCGGAUAGGAGCGUCCACCGCAUGGUGGGUGUUGGAAAGAUUUAUCGGUUUUGGAUGGACUCGCGGCCUAUCAGCUUGUUGGUGAGGUAAUGGCUCACCAAGGCGACGACGGGUAGCCGGCCUGAGAGGGUGACUGGCCACACUGGGACUGAGACACGGCCCAGACUCCUACGGGAGGCAGCAGUGGGGAAUAUUGCACAAUGGGCGCAAGCCUGAUGCAGCGACGCCGCGUGAGGGAUGACGGCCUUCGGGUUGUAAACCUAUUUCAGUAGGGAAGAAGCGACAGUGACGGUACCUGCAGAAGAAGCACCGGCUAACUACGUG